AGUGGCGCACGGGUGAGUAACACGUAGCUAACCUGCCCUCGAGUGGGGGAUAACCUGGGGAAACCCGGGCUAAUACCGCAUAAUUCCCUCCCAAGCAAAGGCCCGCUGGAGGAGGGGGCUGCGGCCGAUUAGCUAGUUGGUGAGGUAACGGCCCACCAAGGCGAUGAUCGGUAGCCGGCCUGAGAGGGCGCACGGCCACACUGGCACUGAAACACGGGCCAGACUCCUACGGGAGGCAGCAGUGGGGAAUUUUGCACAAUGCCCGAAAGGGUGAUGCAGCAACGCCGCGUGAGGGAUGAAGGCCUUCGGGUCGUAAACCUCUUUCGACUGGGAAAAAUGCUGGUACUGGUGGAAGAAGCCCCGGCUAACUACGUGCCAGCAGCCGCGGUAAUACGUAGGGGGCGAGCGUUGUUCGGAAUUAUUGGGC
rnacentral:rRNA from 1 species